UCAAAUUUCCACCGACACCCUGUAGGUUAACAGCAUCGGUGGCGGUCGUUGUUAACCCGGGCCUCGAACCUGCAUCCACGGCAGUCGCCAGUCCAACCAGCAGAACGACUGCAGAGACAUGACUGACGAAUCCAGCUGUGUCAACGUGACCCACUGUGAGGGCCCGGACAAGUUCAAGUGCCGCAGUGGGGAGUGCAUAACCAUGGAGAGAGUGUGUGACAACAAAAGGGACUGCAGGGAUUGGUCAGAUGAGCCUCUUCGGGAAUGUGGCUGCUCUCACAUUUGCAAUGACCUGAAAAUCGGCCGCGAGUGCUUGUGUCAGUGUGGAUAUAGCCUCAGAGACAAAAGACGGUGCGAAGAUAUUGAUGAGUGCGCCAGUCCAGACACCUGCAGCCAGACCUGCAUUAACACGAUGGGCAGCUACAAAUGUGAGUGUGAGGAGGGUUACCAGGUUGACCCAGUAACCAAAGCGUGCAAAUCUAUUGGUACAAUAGCCUACCUCUUCUUCACCAAUCGUCACGAAAGAUGACUCUUGACAAAAGCGAGUACACUCUAGUAAUUCCCCGCCUAAAGAAUGUGGUGGCGCUGGACAUUGACGUAGCCACUAAAGAGAUCUACUGGUCCGACAUUUCUCUGAAGAAAAUCUACAGACGAAACUGACUAAAACCAGAGCGGAGAGGACGUUGGUUUCAUUCCCUGAUGUUUGAAACCAGUUUGGAUGUUCCAUGCAGAACAAACAUAGACUCAGCUGACGACUCUGCUCAGCACCAAACCAUCAUCGACAGCGACGUUGAUGCCCCUGAAGGAAUCGCCUACGACUGGGUCCAUAAAAACCUCUAUUGCACUGACGGUAUUCGUAGCACUAUCUCUGUGGCAACUGCUGAUGGCAGCCAUCGCAAAACUCUCUUCCACCAAGGCUUGUCGAAGCCUCGGGCGAUAGUGUUCGACCCCCAUAGCAAGUGAGAUCAUGGUUGCAUUUACAUGCGUUUCUCAUGGUUCAAACUAUUUUUUUACUGCCAUUUUUCAACAUUUCACAGCUUUCUAUACUGGACUGAUUGGGGAAAUCCGGCUAAGAUCGAGAAGGGAGGUCUUAAUGGAGGAGACCGCUCCACUCUGGUCACAGGGUUUGGGAGUUAGCAUUGUCACAGUAACGUUUGUUUUAGCGGUAUUAGUCUGUUUUUUACAUGUUGCACACAGGGUUGGAAGUUACAGGAAUUGUGAAUAACACAACUGUCACUUCUAAUAAGGCUAACCUGUAGCGUGUUCUAGGGUUACUGUGAGCGCAGUUUAUAAUGUUGGACUGACUGAUGGACAUAUCUGACUCCUGCCUCGCUUAAUGCGCCUUAUAGUUCGGUAUGCCUUAUACAUGACAUAAGACUAAAAAAAUAGGCCCUUCAUUGACGGCGCACUUUAUGAUCCUUAUAGAAAAUAUGGUAGAUGAUUUAAAAAAUGAAUUUAUUUAAUGUAUUUGCAUUUUAGAGGCACCAACACUUGCAGGACCAUCGCAGUCAGAAACUCCAGCCGUGACCCCGAAAGGGACAAAACGGAUUAGAAGAAUGUAUCAAUGAAUAGAAGAAUGAAUGCUUUUAUUUCUUAAAAAACUAGUUUUUAAAAUCUAAAACAUUUUACAAAAAUAAAAAUUAAAAGAAUCGGCCGCGUACAGGGAGGCCCAAACCUCUACAGAGGAACACGGGCCAAUUUAUUUUUAAAGGUAAAUAAUAAAAUUAAAUAAAUGGGCCGCGGCGGCGGCCAAACCGACGGGACAGGAUUGCCCCCACAAACAGCACCCGACCUAACAAAAAAAGGCACCCUCGUUGGUCGGAGGGACUCCUAAAGACAAAAAAAAAAAAGCAAUCAGGCAUCGGCUGUGUGGGUCGGGGGGGGUUCUUCAUAACGCUCAUAGGUUCCUCUAAACAAAGUAGACAAUGAAGUUAUCAGUUAAUACAAAAUAGUUAUGUAAUAUGUUUGUAUAGAUUAUAGAAAACAAUAAGUAAAGAAGGCAAAUAAAGUUAAAAGUCAAAUAACAACAUUACUUUAAAAAAGGUGAUAAACAUUACUUUUUUUUAAUAUACUGUAGCAUUGCAACACAAAAAUAGGAUUGACAUUUCACUGUUGGGAUACAAGACAGUAAAUGCUUCCAAAUUAGACACCAAUAUUAAUGGUCCAGUAUUUCAUUGUUAUGUUUCCAGGUGAGCACAUUAUAAUAGUUUGAUUUGUAUGUAUUUGGUUUUACACUACGUUUAUGUGGUAAAUAAUGUAUUUGAGGACUACAAAUAUGGCGGCCAAGAGUUCCUGCGGGUGACUUCCGGUUACUCAGGUGUGUGGCUGAUUACAGCUAAUGACUGCACAAAGAGGGGGAGGCGGAGCCAAGCAAGAAGGGAGGACAGAAACAAACUUUCUGUUUGACGUAAUCACUGCCGCUUGGAGGAAUGGAUAAAAAAAAACGAGGGAUGUUUCUCUGGAUACAAUUUGACGGAUAUUCUGGAAUUUCAAAAGGUCUUCCCUAGUCUUGGAAAGUGUUACGAUAUCAGACUCAACUAAUCUGGUUAGAAGCCGUUGUCCAUCUGAACGCGGACAAACGCACACAUUUGAGAAAGAAAGUAGAACCCUGAUUGAUUUUGUAAAUACUCUCAUUUAAUGCUGAGUAUUACAAUACAGUAUGACAAAUAACAGCAACCGUUAAAAAUCCAGAUCAUCUUGUUAACCAAGUUCAAUGAGAAGAAAGUCAGGCGUGAAGCCUACUUACUGGAUGGUGAAGGACCACCUCGACUGACCAGGCCCUUGCGCUUGACUCCCUUCGAGGUUGCCUUUCUGGUCAUGGGCCUGUUGGUCCUUGAGUGGUCCUUCCUCUUUGACGGGGCCUGGCCCCCCUGGAGGAGCUCCCAUAUGUUGUGAGUUGUUCCCUGAAAGACAAAAAUCUAGAUGUCAUUUUUUUCAUACUCACGUGUCUGUCAGGAGCGUCUGAGCGCUCGUUGAUCCAAGGCUCCGGGGGCGGAUAACAGCAUUUAGCCUUAAAUGGAGCAAUAACAACUAAAAUGCCCCCACAAACAGAGUUAAAAUUGUCCAGGAGCUCAUCAACGUUUCCAUUGUAGGCGUCCACGUAGGAAAGCUCAGAGGCUGAGAAAGCCGCUGAAAACUGUAGGGCUGUCUGCGCGUUCAUCAGGCGGCCGGGGCGCGCGAGGGCGCGUGAGUCAGGCGGCAGCGUUAAAGGCUUAAAUUCAAAUAAUACGGGCAAAUGAUCCGAAAAACAGGCAUCAACAAUCUCCUUGACCUCUCCAUGUAAACCCAGAGUUAAAACCAGAUCCAGGAGUGGAUCUGGUUUAUGAUUAUUAUUUAUGAUUUGUUGGGUUAUUUCAGAACAUUUGAGCUCCAUGUUAGAGCACCAGGACAGCCUUUAUUUUGUUAAUGUUGAUCAUUUUAUUUAUGUUAUUUUAUUACUGAGAAAAGCGGAUGUAAUGUUUGGUGAAUCAAGCUAUUGCUUUAGUAAUGUCCCUGCGCUGUCCGUAGUACUGAUUUACGACUUUAGCAAAGCAGUGUAUUAAAGUACGUCAUCUGAACGACUCCCUCGUCUCAUCAAUGACUCUUAUAAACCUUAUCAGCAGGAAUAUAAAUACGUGACAUGAGCCACUGUCACCGCCCCCCCACGUUAAUUUUGCGCACCGGACAAUUGCCCGUAUUACCUGAGCCUAAAACCGCCACCACCGCACGCUCCCCCUGGCAUCGCUUCGCGCCCCCCAGCACUGAUUUAGACCCACAUACAAGUACAGAAACAGACUAUCAUCUUCCACAAACAAGAAGUGUCUUACCCAUGUCCUCUGUCUUGGGGUUUUGUCAGUUUAGAAUUGUUUAUGUAAAAACUCAGUAUUUUGGCAGGUACACAUAGUUUUUUAACUUUAAACAUAAAAACUCCAGUACUAAGAUCAACUAAAUCAAAAAAUGUAAUUGCCCUUAAUUUAGGAAGUAUUUGUUUUGUGGAUUGAUUGUAUGAAGAGUGAUUUAAAAUUCUAAUUGCUUUUUUUUGCAGAAUAAAAACAGGUUUUGUGUUUGACUUGUAACUAUGCCCCCAGAUUUCUAAACAAUAGGUCAAAUAAGGAACUAUGAGGGAACAAUAUAGAAUAUACAAUGUAGCUGUGUUUAAAAAAUACUUGACUUUAUGUAGGAUGGCUAAUGAUUUGGACAAUUUAAAGAGAACAUGCGUUAUGUGUGGUUUCCAUGAUAAUGUAUGAUUCAAAAGGACUCCCAGAAAUGUUAUUUCAUUUACUCUUUCAAGAACAGAAUCCUCAAUUUUUAACUCAGAGAUGUUUUCCAGUUUUCUUUAGCCAAAUAUAAUGUACUUGGUUUUAUUUUUAUAAGACAGUUUGUUUGAAUCGAACCAUUCUUUGAUUAUGGAUAAUUCUUUUGUUAUGUCUGAAAGAAGCUUUUCCAGAUUAUAUCCUGAUAAAUACAAAGUAGUGUCGUCAGCAUAUAAAACACAAUUUAACAAAUCAGAAACUUUACAAAGGUUGUUUAUGUAUAAAAUAAGUAAUAUAGGACCCAAUAGGGACCCCUGAGGUACUCCACGUUACAGGACACAUAUCAGAUUUUUCGUUGAAAUAAACAUACUGACAUCUGUUAGUAAGAUAACUUUCUAACCAGGAAUAUGCUGUUCAUCUAAAACCAUAUUUCUGUAAACUACUAAGUAACAUAGUGUGAUUUAAUGUAUCAAACGCUUUUUGAAGAUCAACAAAAACGCCUACCGUAAAAUUUUCCUUCCCUAUGGAGGAAGAAAUAUGAUCAACCAGCUGCAUUAUCGCCAUUGAAGUAGAUCUGCCAGCCCUAAAACCAUAUUGAUCCUCAUGCAAUAAAUUAAACUUUCCAAUAAAAUUGUUCAUUCUUUUAACAAAAAGUUUUUCUAAUAUCUUGGAGAAUUGGGAUAAUAGUGAAAUUGGUCUGUAAUCUAUAAAUAUAUGACGAUCUCCAUUUUUAAAAAUGACAAUAAUUUUUGCUGUUUUCAUGUUAUUUGGAAAAAUGCCCUCCCUAAAAGACAUGUUAAAUAUAUGAGUUAGUGCUUCAACAAUGAACUCAAUUGUGUUUUUAAUUAAUGACAUAUCAAUGUCAUUCCAAUCUUUGGAUCUUUUAUUUUGAAAUGUUCUUACAAUUUCUAUUAUUUCAUUUGUACUAACCUCAGACAGAAACAUUGAGAACUUGAUUGGUUGGAUACUAAGUUCUUUCAUCUUCUUUAUUGGCUCUUUUAUUUCCAUUGCAAGUUUAUUUCCAACAUUAGCAAAGUAUUCAUUUAAUUCAUUUGCAAUAAGCGUUGGGUUUCUGAUAUAAAUAUCACAUUUUUUAAAUAACUUGGAUACUCUUGUUUCUUAUUGUUUUGUUUUUUUUGGUUAAUUUGUUUAUUAUUCAUUAUUCAUUUCAAAGUGUUGGUUUAUUUUGUUUAGUGUUGAGAUACCUCUGUGGUUGUGUUGAGUAUUUUGGAGGCGUUUCUGCUCUGUUUACAGAUAAUAUUGUUUUCAUCAUUUGAGGACAUUUCCUUUAAAAUAGAUUUCAAAUAAACUCCUUCCUUUCUCUGCA